rnacentral:tRNA from 1 species
GGUGUUGUAGCUCAGUGGUAGAGUGUUUGCCUCGAAUGUGGAAGGCCCUGGAUUUGAUCCUCAGCACCA